AGAGUUUGAUCCUGGCUCAGAACGAACGCUGGCGGCGUGGAUAAGACAUGCAAGUCGAGCGCUUAUUUUCUGGUAGCAAUAUUAGGAAGUAGGAGCGGCGCAAGGGUGCGUAACACGUGGAUCAUCUGCCUGGAAGUUCGGAAUAAUUCCGCGAAAGCGGGACUAAUGCCGGAUGUGGUUGUAAGACUAAAGUUGGAGACCGCAAGGCCUGACGCUUCCAGAUGAGUCCGCGGCCUAUCAGCUAGUUGGCGGGGUAACGGCCCACCAAGGCUAAGACGGGUAGCUGGUCUGAGAGGACGACCAGCCACACUGGAACUGAGACACGGUCCAGACACCUACGGGUGGCAGCAGUCGAGAAUUUUUCUCAAUGGGCGAAAGCCUGAAGGAGCGACGCCGCGUGGGGGAUGAAGGGCUUCGGUCCGUAAACCCCUGUCAUUUGCGAACAAACCUUAUGAAUGAACAAUUCAUGAGCUGAUUGUAGCGAAAGAGGAAGGGACGGCUAACUCUGUGCCAGCAGCCGCGGUAAU
rnacentral:rRNA from 1 species